UAAGUAUGAAGCAUUUGGUUAAGAACUGCAAAGAGAUAAUAGAUCUGAACUUGAGUGGCUGUAAAAAUAUAACGGACUAGAGUUUGCAUCUAAUUGCUGAUGAUUAUCAAGAGUUGGAAGUGUUGAAUUUGACAAGGUGCAUCAAGCUAACAGAUGGCGGAUUGCAACAGAUACUUCUCAAGUGUUCUUCCCUCUGAAGCUUGAACCUUUAAUUUAUGCCCUUUCAAG